UUAGGAAUUUUGGGCAAUGGGCGAAAGCCUGACCCAGCAACGCCGCGUGGGUGACGAAGGCCUUCGGGUUGUAAAGCCCUUUUCUGGGGGAAGAUGAUGACGGUACCCCAGGAAGAAGCACCGGCUAACUACGUGCCAGCAGCCGCGGUAAUACGUAGGGUGCAAGCGUUGCCCGGAUUUAUUGGGCGUAAAGGGCGCGUAGGCGGCUCGGCACGUCCGUUGUGAAAUCGCCCGGCUCAACUGGGCGGGGUCAGCGGAUACGGUCGAGCUUGAGCAAGCUAGGGGGCAAUGGAAUUCCCGGUGUAGUGGUGGAAUGCGUAGAUAUCGGGAGGAACACCAGUGGCGAAGGCGGUUGCCUGGGGCUUUGCUGACGCUGAUGCGCGAAAGCGUGGGGAGCGAUCCGGAUUAGAUACCCGGGUAGUCCACGCCGUAAACGAUGCGGACUAGGUGUCGGGGGUAUCGGACCCCUCGGCGCCGCAGCUAACGCAUUAAGUCCGCCGCCGUGGGGACUACGGCCGCAAGGCU
rnacentral:rRNA from 1 species